UCCUCUACUCAGGGUUUCCUUGUUCCAAUUCUGUUCUCUUUGUUCAUCUCACUCAAACCCAACGACCUUCAAACCACCCAGAAACAUUCACCUCACUCGAUUCUACAAAUUACCCACUCACCUUCGUUCUUCUUCAAUCUCACUUCACCUAGAAACCCUCAACCUUCUUUAAACCUUCGUCACUCUCACUCCAUCCAGAACCCUUCUUCUUCGACCUUCUUCUCACCCAGAAACUCACUGAAACCCUAAACCCCGUAGAAUGUCAAUUGAUUGAACCCAGAUUCCCAUUGAAACCCUUAAAUAAAAAUCAAUUGAACCUUGAGAACUCGCUGAAACCCUAAAACCAUAUUUCCCAAUCGUUCAUCAUUGUCCAUCGUUUCAGAAGUCGUUUACCCAGAAACUCUUCAUCGUUCCGCCAUCGUUCAUCGCAGUUGAACCUCCAUCUUAUCAUGAGAGGAGUUGUUUCUAGAUGUGGUGCUGUUGUGUUGGUGUUUCUGAAUUUUUUCUUUGAGAUUGUCUUCUUUUUUGGUUUGGGAGUGUAGGUGUAAUUUUGGAGUGUGUUUUAGCUUGAUAUAAGAUUAUUUGCCUUAGUGCCUCUACAAACAAACAGUCUAACAUACAAAAGUAGGCAGAGGAAAAAGCUGCUUUGAUCAUGGAAGAAUUACACUCUGAUGACACUGGAUUUAUCAUGGAGCUUGUUAUAAAACCUGAAAUAAAUUUGAUUAGUGGUGAUUACGGCGUUGGGAAGAGUACUCUAUUGUUGCAGGUAUGGUGUUAGGUAGAUUACGUGCUUAAAUUUAAUAUCACUAUUUUGUGUCCUUUUCUUGUAUUACCCAAAAAUUGGGAAGUAUGUCUUAGGAAUGGACAAGACCUUCUUUAAAAAAUUUCUGAAAUCUUACUUAAAUACAAGUGAUAGCAGCAUUGGAGCAUGUUUUGUUUCAAACUUCAGAAGAGGUAUGAGAUAGUAUUGCUUUUAUAUUGCAUCAUUAUAUGUGAUAUUACAUUCUUGUAAUUCAUUUGCUAAUUUGAAAUUCUCAUUUUGUUUGCCAUAUACAUUAACUUAUCAAAUAAACAAAAAGUUGAGUAUCCGGAGAGAGUGUUUUCUGAAUCUUCUUUUCAAAUUUGAGCUUCGAUGUAUUUAAUAAAAAUGCUCUGCCUGUUAUUGUAAAUGAUGGCUUUGACUGCGAUAAAAAAAUUGAUACACCAAUUUAAAAAUCUUGCUUUAAUUUGAUGACAUAACUUCAAUAUGUAUUCAUUAGGGGUAGAUCAGUCCAUUUGUGUUACUGGUGAUGACAGCUGAGCAUAGCAUAUAAGGGAAAUGAAGAGGAUCAGAGAUACAUAUAAAAGAUUUGAAGAGCUUGUGUUUGGGUUCGAAGAGUUUUUCUUUAAAGGACUGAAUAUCUAUUUAUGGAUAGCAAAUUUAUAUGUAUCUGACUCUCAAUUGUCUAUCCCUCCUGAUUGAAUCUGAGAGGCUUUGCUGCUCUCUUGCGGUCUGACUUUGGCCCACUCUUUUUUUGAUUCCGCUCAAUUGCGCGAUCUUUGUAAGGUAGUUUGAAUUUUAUAGGCCUUCCUUUUUCGAUGAAGUGGAUCGUUCUCAUCAAGUGACAGAAAAAAGAGUUUUGCAGCUGUUGUUAGAUGUCAAAUUUGUCAUUGAUAUUAUCAGAAGAAAGCAGGGCCAAAGUUUGACGAUCUCAUUUGUAGUGGUGUUUGUGUUUGUACUAUUCAAUUCUGAUUUGUCUUGUAGCUCGGAUAGGUUUUGUUUAUGAAAUGAAUGUAUUACGAGUUGUUGUUUUAUUAGAGCUAGUGUAUAUUGGAACAACACUGUUUCUUAGAAAAUUAAUAAUAUUGUAUAUUUUGGAAGUCUA